rnacentral:lncRNA from 1 species
AGCUGAGUCAUUAAGGUAAGAAGAAAAUGAAGAGGAAAGAGGGGAGAAAUAGCCAACAUGUACCAAGAACCUGCUGAGCCAGGCAUGGAUGAUGUCAUCUUGUCUCCUGUGCCUGGAUAUUUCCUGAGUCCUAGUUGAAUAAAAAAUGCAAUUCUUGACUUGAGAUGAAUCAGUUCCCCAAUUUAUACUUCAUUCGUGGAAACUGGGUCUUGGGCAACAUCUCAGCAAUUCCUUCCAAUCUGAAGUUCUCUCAUCUGCUGGUAACCGGUCCAUUCCUAUUGGCGUUCAAGCAAUCACAAACACAUCCUACUUUUGAGAAAUGUUCCAAAGGAGGAGUCAAAGCGGCUGUAAUCUUGAUUCGGUUUUAUGGGCAAUAGAAUUAUUUUACUGAUUCCUGGAAUCAUGGCUCCUAUACAUCUGCACUCUAUGAGCACUUUGGAAAUUAAAGGAUUGCCAGCUUUUCCACUUUGGGACAAAAAACAUUUGUGCUAAACAGCCGGAAAAAGCAAAUGCCAGUGUUAAUCAAACCAGCAUGGAAGUUAAUUAGAACCUCAAGAACAAGCGGAUGGGCUUAGCACCUUGGACACAUCAAUAUCUUGUUUCUAAAGAUGACCUCAAAAGAUUGCAUAACAAUAAAGCCCAGCACAAGUCAGAAAGUCAAUCUACUGAGGUCCUACAAUUCUCUUCAUUGACCUGAACAAACUCGACUCUGCUUUUCCCUUAAAUUUCUGUACAGAACCCUGACAACUCGUCUAUACUUUCUGUUAUUGAUUUCCCCCAUGCGCCUAAGUUUCUUAUGACUUCUGGAUUCUCCUUUUGGCUUUGCAGAACACCCCUACUUCCAAACUCUAGAGUAAAAUUCCUGUGAAGACUGAUACCUCAGAAGUGACUGCUUCACAGAUAGACAUCUAAUUUUUUAAUUGAGAUUUCAACUAUUUAACACUUACCGUGUUAACUCAUGACACUCUCCUCCAUUUGCUCAUAAACAACAAAACAAUAACAAAAAUGAAUGCUCACUGAGUGCUACAGAAUGCAAACUAUUAAAGAUACAGAAAUAAUGAAUAGGACUUCUGACCUUGAGUGGUUGGUAAAUAAAACAGAAAUAUAAAAAAUGAAAUAAAUAAUUAGGGUUACUGCCACUAGAGAAACAGAUCACAGGCUACAGAUUACUACUGGCCCUAUGAAGCAGGAAGACAGCACAGGUAUAGCAAGGGACCUUUUAUAUGUAGGUAGAACCUUAUUGUAGGUAAUGGUGAAAGCCAGUGAGCCCUUGCUCUGGGCUGCU